CAUUAGCUAACAUGGCAAUAACGGAUGUGUUUUGAAGCUUCAUCCAGCCCAACGGUGUAUGCAGAUUGCAACAGCACUGUUGAUACCAGGAAACUGUUCCCAUCACGUGGUUUCAUGUUAGUGACAUUGGUGCACUAUUUCUCAAUGUAUCACAUUUUCUCUUUUAGGACCAUCACGGCCCAAGAACAUGACAUAUUCUCCAUCGAUCUCUUCAAUUUCAGACAAACGUGAGUUUUUGAAAAGAAACCGCACAGCUCUGGUUAGCCAGGUGAAAAACGUGAAGGCCAUUGUCGAUGAUCUGCAGAGUGGAGGUUGUCAUGAUGAAAUGGCUGCCAACGUGAAUGCCCAGUUGGCACCACAAGAAAUGAUGAGGAAGCUCCUGGAUAGCGCGACCAGCACCGGGGCUGCUAACGCCCUGAUUCAAGCCCUUUCAACUCAUCAGAAGGAUGUCAUGGAUGACCUGAUUGCUGAAAAUGCUUGAAGAGGUCAAUUGGUUCUUCAUUAUAAUUGAUCUAUUUUUUACCUUUUUUCUAUCACUUUCUUUUUCCUCUGAGCCACCAGCCUGGUCUCAUAAACUAGUAAACUUACAUCUGGGACACUCAGAAUAGUAUAAUAUGCUACAGUACAUUUGGUACUGUAUGUUUACAUUAAAUUAAUGUAGAGUGGUUGGUUAAAGUGGAUGAGUAUGAUGCAACCUGUCAACUACUUACUUCUUUGAACCUACUUAGCAUGUUAGCUAACCCUUCCCCUAACUCUUAACUCCUAACACUAACCCUAGGCCUAGCUAACAUUAGCCACAACAAAUUGGAAUUCAUAACAUAUACGUUCUGCAAAUUGGUAACAUUACAUAUUGAAAUUCAUAACAUAUCAUACAAAUUGUAAUUUGUAACAUAUCAUAGGAAAUGGAUGAUGGACAUCCACAAAUGAAUACAUACCAUACGAAAGGUAACAUAUCAUACUAAUUGGCUGUUCCAGAUAUAUAUUUACUCUGUUACGUCUACCCCCUGAAUCCAGGCUGUUGCCACAUGUAAUUAUUGGUGGUGGUGCUAUUUUUUAUUGACAAAACCUGGACAAUAUAAUAUUUUAAGGGGAAACAUUUCUAUAAAAAAUGCAAGACAAUAUAUUUUGAUUAUGUUGACUAUGGUUCUUUACAUUCCAAAUAUAAAAUGUAAUGGUGCAGUUUGAAGAUUUACCGCCACAUUACCUUUAAAUGAAAUGUUGUUGAACUACUUACGUUGUCAAACUCCAAGAAGGAGAGGUCCAAUAAAUAAACAUCUGUAGGCCUA